GAUGAACGCUGGCGGCGUGCCUAAUACAUGCAAGUCGAGCGAACAGACGAGGAGCUUGCUCCUCUGACGUUAGCGGCGGACGGGUGAGUACCACGUGGCUAACCUACCUAUAAGACUGGGAUCACUUCGGGAAACCGGAGCUAAUACCGGAUCAUAUAUUGAACCGCAUGGUUCAAUAGUGAACGACGGUUCUGCUGUCACUUAUAGAUGGAUCCGCGCCGCAUUAGCUAGUUGGUAAGGUAACGGCUUACCAAGGCAACGAUGCGUAGCCGACCUGAGAGGGUGAUCGGCCACACUGGAACUGAGACACGGUCCAGACUCCUACGGGAGGCAGCAGUAGGGAAUCUUCCGCAAUGGGCGAAAGCCUGACGGAGCAACGCCGCGUGAGUGAUGAAGGUCUUCGGAUCGUAAAACUCUGUUAUUAGGGAAGAACAAAUGUGUAAGUAACUAUGCACGUCUUGACGGUACCUAAUCAGAAAGCCACGGCUAACUACGUG
rnacentral:rRNA from 1 species